rnacentral:rRNA from 1 species
UACGUAGAGGGCAAGCGUUGUCCGGAUUUAUUGGGCGUAAAGAGCGUGUAGGCGGCCAUGUAGGUCCGUUGUGAAAACUCGAGGCUCAACCUCGAGACGCCGAUGGAAACCAUAUGGCUAGAGUCCGGAAGAGGAGAGUGGAAUUCCUGGUGUAGCGGUGAAAUGCGCAGAUAUCAGGAAGAACACCCGUGGCUAAGGCGGCUCUCUAGUACGGUACUGACGCUGAGACGCGAAAGCGUGGGUAGCAAACAGG